UUUCUUCCAGGGCUGUUGCAGAUUCUGCAGCACCCUGAUAGUUAACAAUUAGCAGAGUUUGUAGCCAUCUCAGCAAAGUCUUUGCUGCUGUAGGCUUGCAAAGUAUAUUUUGUUGUGGAGACGGCCCCUUUUCCUGGGGAAAAAUGCUCCAUUUUGAGAAGCCUUUUGCCUUCUAGACAGAAGAGAAAAGAACUCAGAUGUGCUUGUGUGGUCAAGCCAAGCCAGCUCAGACAAGCCAUCGAGAUGCUAACCUUACGUCACCUCCAUCCCAAAAUCUGUGAAGAAACUAUUUGCAUAUUCAUUUCUGAGCUAUCAAGUCAUGUCCAUCCCUGUGUGAAUUAAGCCUACCUGACUGAAGAAAGGAAAUUAAAAAGAAGAGGGAAAUAUUACAAAAGGGUAGAUAUAUUUCCUUUCAUUUCUUUAAGAGUUGACAAAAUUUGUAAGUUUAUCU
rnacentral:lncRNA from 11 species